rnacentral:sRNA from 1 species
CAUCGUAUCAUGUGAUUUGAGUUUCCACCCCAUCUUUAUAGUAAGUGAUUUUUGCAAUUCUGUUAAAAGGUUAUUUAAGAAAAUUGUCUAACGACACUAGGCUAUUGAUGUGGCUACAUUGUACAGUCUCCCACACCUCCCACCCCAUUACGUUUGUAUAAAGUGACCUGGGAUGAAGUGUUGGGAAUGUUGGUUUGUUAUUUGUGCUGAGAUUUUAUAAUUGUAUAUAAAUGGAAGACCAGGUGCCAGGAUUUAUUUUCUGGUUUGACAUGCAUUACUUUGUGAAGAAAUUGAUUAGUUAGCCAGGUGUCACUUCUGUCAGACCAAAGAUGCCUUCUCUGUUGCAUUUGAUUUUUAGAGACAGUGAGAAGCUUGUUAUUUCCGUUUCCCAUUCUACUUUCAGGAUGCGAAGGUCAUGUCCUGGUGGGAUUAUGGCUAUCAGAUUACAGCUAUGGCAAACCGAACAAUUUUAGUGGACAAUAACACAUGGAAUAAUACCCAUAUUUCUCGAGUAGGGCAGGCAAUGGCGUCCACAGAGGAAAAAGCCUAUGAGAUCAUGAGGGAGCUCGAUGUCAGCUAUGUGCUGGUCAUUUUUGGAGGCCUCACUGGGUAUUCCUCUGAUGAUAUCAACAAGUUUCUUUGGAUGGUCCGGAUUGGAGGGAGCACAGAUACAGGCAAACAUAUCAAGGAGAAUGACUAUUAUACUCCAACUGGGGAGUUCCGUGUGGACCGUGAAGGUUCUCCAGUGCUGCUCAACUGCCUCAUGUACAAGAUGUGUUACUAUCGCUUUGGACAGGUUUACACAGAAGCCAAGCGUCCUCCAGGCUUUGACCGUGUCCGAAAUGCUGAGAUUGGGAAUAAAGACUUUGAGCUUGAUGUCCUGGAGGAAGCAUAUACCACAGAACAUUGGCUGGUCAGGAUAUACAAGGUAAAGGACCUGGAUAAUCGAGGCUUGUCAAGGACAUAAAUGUCACGUCCAGCUCUGAUAUGCUUCGCACUGAGCACAUCACAUUUAGGACGUUGAAGAUUUUUUUUUUUUUUUUUUUUUUAAUAUGCAGUUUGUAAGAACAAAACUGGAUGGCAUCAGAAUUGUCUGGAAGUUUUGUCUUGGGCAGUAUGGGCUGGGCCAAAUGAAAUGAUUUUUAUAAUUCUAAACAGGUUACCAAAUGAAAUGUCAUGGCUUUACUUUGGUCAAUUAAAGGGGGGAAUUUUUUUUUUAAAUGUGCCUUAUUUGUUUUGACUUAUAACUGAUUUGAGGGAGGCAAAAGCUAUGCUAGGCUGCCAGAAGGACAUAAGCAGACCUUGUCCAUUCUCUUAGCUCCCUAAAUUAGCCAAAUAGAGACUUCUUUCUCAAAUCAGGAAAACUAUCAAAGACCAAUUCAGA